rnacentral:rRNA from 1 species
UACGGAGGGUGCGAGCGUUAUCCGGAAUUACUGGGUUUAAAGGGUGCGUAGGCGGCCCUGUAAGUCCGCUGUGAAAGUCAAGGGCUCAACCCUUGGAUGCCGGUGGAUACUGCAGGGCUAGAGUCCGGAAGAGGCGAGUGGAAUUCCUGGUGUAGCGGUGAAAUGCGCAGAUAUCAGGAGGAACACCGAUGGCGAAGGCAGCUCGCUGGGACGGUACUGACGCUGAGGCGCGAAAGCGUGGGGAGCAAACAGG